GACUCGGCCCCAUGCGGUCGUAACGCCCAAACCUUGUCAGGACCGGAAGGUAGCAGCAAUAGGGAUGCUUAUCACAGGCGUGGAAUCCGAGUCUUA
rnacentral:SRP_RNA from 1 species